rnacentral:rRNA from 1 species
GACGAACGCUGGCGGCGUGCCUAAUACAUGCAAGUUGAGCGAUGAAGAUUGGUGCUUGCACCAAUUUGAAGAGCAGCGAACGGGUGAGUAACGCGUGGGGAAUCUGCCUUUGAGCGGGGGACAACAUUUGGAAACGAAUGCUAAUACCGCAUAACAACUUUAAACAUAAGUUUUAAGUUUGAAAGAUGCAAUUGCAUCACUCAAAGAUGAUCCCGCGUUGUAUUAGCUAGUUGGUGAGGCAAAGGCUCACCAAGGCGAUGAUACAUAGCCGACCUGAGAGGGUGAUCGGCCACAUUGGGACUGAGACACGGCCCAAACUCCUACGGGAGGCAGCAGUAGGGAAUCUUCGGCAAUGGACGAAAGUCUGACCGAGCAACGCCGCGUGAGUGAAGAAGGUUUUCGGAUCGUAAAACUCUGUUGGUAGAGAAGAACGUUGGUGAGAGUGGAAAGCUCAUCAAGUGACGGUAACUACCCAGAAAGGGACGGCUAACUACGUG